CACUCCCACACUACUUAGGAACUUACUUUCUCCUGAAAUGUGAAAACCUCUUCUGCUUUCUUUCUUGUUAUCUUAUAGAUUGGGAGUCCAGAAGAAAAACCAAGACUUUAUCUCGAGAGAACAGUUAUGAAAUUAAAUCAUUACAUCGGGAGAUAACAAAAAAACGUACAUGUUCCAACCUUGAAUUCAACAGGGUCAGAGAUAGCAGAGAAAUCAAAUGCCACUUGGAGAGACAGCAGGGGCAUAAGGAGGUACAAGUCAAACAAGCCAAAAUAACCACUAAAAAACGGCCCCCUGCAGUUGAGUGCAUAGCCCCUGGAGAAUAUCAUAGAGCUCAUACUGGAGAAAAAUCCUGUGAAUGUCAGAAAUGUAAGAAAGCUUCUGGGAGCCAGUCAUGUCCUGUUCAAAACGAAAGAAUUCAUAAUAAGGAAAAAGACUUUGAAUGUGGAGAAUGUGGGGAAAUCUUUAAGAGUAGGUCAGACUUGAUUAAACAUGAGAAACUUCAUGAAAGCAAAAAAAGCAAUGAAAAUAAGAAAAGUGCCAUUAGUCAUGGCUCUGAGGUUACUCAACCUCAGAGCACUCAUUCUGGUGAGAAGUCUCAUAAGUGUAAAGAAUGUGGGAAAGCCUUUCAUUCUAAGUCACAGCUUAGUCAACAUCAAAAGAUGCAUAUAGGUGAGAAACCCUACAAGUGUAAGGAGUGUGGGAAGGCUUUUCCAUCUGUUGCACAACUUAAUCUUCAUCAGAGAGUUCAUACUGAUGAGAAGUUCUUUGAAUGUAAGGAAUGUGGGAAAGCCUUUACCCGCCCCUCACAUCUUUUUCGACAUCAGAGAAUCCAUACUGGUGAGAAACCCCAUAAAUGUAAGGAAUGUGGGAAAGCUUUCCGUUAUGACACACAGCUUAGUCUUCAUCAGUUAAUUCAUACUGGUGAAAGACGCUAUGAAUGUAAAGAAUGUGGGAAAGUAUAUAGUUGUGCCUCACAAUUGAAUCUACAUCAAAUGAUUCAUACUGGUGAGAAACCUCAUAAAUGUAAAGAAUGUGGGAAAGGUUUUAUCUCUGAUUCACAUCUUCUUCGACAUCAGAGUGUUCAUACUGGUGAGAAGCCCUAUAAAUGUAAACAGUGCGGGAAUGCCUUUCGUCGUGGCUCAGAACUUACUCGACAUCAGAGAGCUCACGCUGGUGAAAAACCCUAUAAGUGUAAGGAAUGUGGAAAGGCCUUUACCUGUAGCACAGAACUGGCUAGACAUCAGAAAGUUCACACUGGUGAGAGACCCCAUAAAUGUAAGGAAUGUGGGAAGGCUUUUAUUCGAAGGUCAGAACUUACUCACCAUGAGAGAAGCCAUAGUGGUGAAAAACCUUAUGAGUGUAAGGAAUGUGGAAAGGCCUUUGGUCGUGGCUCAGAACUUAGUCGACACCAGAAAAUUCAUACUGGUGAGAAGCCCUAUGAAUGUAAGCAAUGUGGGAAGGCCUUUAUUCGUGGCUCACACCUUACUCAACAUCAGAGAAUUCAUAUAGGACAGAGGAGCGAAUGAAGGCUCAGAAUUUGAUUGACCUCAUAAAAUUUCAUAUUUUUUUUAAGCCUAUGAUUGAAGGAAUGUGAGGAAACAUUUGAGGUUAGCGACUUAACUGAAUAUCAGAUACUAUGGAUAUAUGCCUAAAAGACUCUUAUUUAAAUAACAGCUGUGACUGACGGAAACUUUAUAAAUGUUACAAAUUGGAAAGGGGUUGUUUGUAUCAGAAUUUAUUAAACAUCAGAAUUCAGUUGUGAAAACUGGGAAAUUCCAUAAACAUAAGGAAACUGGGAAUGCCUUUUUGCUGCUUAGAACCAAGUCAACCUCAGGGAAUUCAUAACAGGGAGAAGCUCAGGAAGGUAUCAGAGAAAUUAAUUAUUGGGGUAUUUCCUAACAUCAGGGCCUUGGGCCUUUGGGGAAAUCAAAGAAUUCAUAAUAUAAAUGCCAUGUAUGUUGGACAGCAAUUUACUUUAUGCAUCUGAUAAUUGAUGUUUGAGAAAGGCUACAUUAGCAUUAAAAAUGCAGCAUAUUCUUCCAUCCCACUUAAAUUUUGUUAAAUAUUUGCUAGCCAAUUCUGUAAAAUUCACCUGAACCAAAUCACUGGAAGGGUAUUUAACCAGUGAUUAAUUUUUAUUUGCCCUCACCAUUAUAACUCAUUUUGUAAGGGCAAACAACUACAUUUAAAUUUUCUCAUUUGCAAAUUAAUAAUACCAGUUCUUAUUUCUUACUUGCAUGGUGAGGAUUAAAUACACUUAUAUCCUUUCCAGCAAUGUCUAGCUAGUAUUGAAAGUUCACCAAAUGAGCUCAGUUCAGUGCAUAUACCUGUAAUCCCAGCAACACUGAGGGCUGAGGCAAAAGAAAAGUGCCAAAUGAGAGCUGCUUUUAUUAUUACUUUUCUUCAUUGUCUCUUCACCAUUGUGUAUUUUUAGAGAUCAUAGAGUCCUUAUAUUCAGUGACAUCUUGCAUUAUUUAUUUUUCUUUAUUAAAUGUUAGAUAAUUAUUCCUGGAGAAAAAUGUAAAGUUUUCAUUCAUAGUUUGUCAUUUUACCUCAUCUGGGGAUUUGUAAUGUAAAGAAACCUGGGGGAGAGAGACAGUAGGAGAAAGGUGGGUUGCUGUGAGGUUAGGGAGAAAAUUAAAAUGAUUUUCUUUAAAAAACCUCUGCCCCCAUCUCCCCACCAAAAAAAAACAAAAAAACAAAAAACUAUCCUCUCUAUUAUAGAGAAUUAGAAAAUAACAGUGCUCUAGCCAAAAGCCAAGUUUCCACUUAGGAAAUAUUAAAAAUACCUGUAUAAAUAGUUUUUAUAUUAAGAAAAUUAAGGGGCUGGCCCAGUUGCAGAGCAUUUAUUUGUCUAGCAUGCAUGAGGCCCUGGGUUCAGUCCCCAUCACCAAAAGAGAAGAAAACUAAGGCAGAUUACCAUUAGGAAUGAAUGGCCAUGAGAAUUUGCUAAAUACCAAUAAAAGAAAAACUAACUUCCCUUAGUAUGCGUAGUAUGUGUAGAACAGAAACACGAAGGGUCAGGAUUCAUUCAGACUUAGACAUUGCCUGUUCUAGUAAGUUCCAUAUAUAUAUAUUUUUAAAAAAAAUCUUUUCGGUUGUCAAUGAACCUUUAUUUAUAUGCAAUGCUGAGAAUCAAACCCAGUGACUCUCACAUGCUAGGCAAGCGAUCUACCACUGAACCACAACCCCAGGCCCCCCACCCCCCAGUCAAUAUUUGAUGAAAGGAAUAAAUAGGAUUUGACUCCAGUGUGUAGAGAAACACAAAAUUAAUGCAAGGGGAAAAAAAACUUGAACAACUUUUCCUGAAAUUAAAAGUAUUUCAUCCUUCAAAGAAAAAGGUCAAGAAUCAUGAAAAAUUAUAUAGUUAUAAAAAUGGAGAUUUCACAGAAAUAAGGCUGUAUUGAAUUAUCAGAUACUAUUGGUUAGUGUUGCCUAUUCAUUGAUGUUCCUCUGCCAUUCUCCCUUUGGCAGGAUUGGUUACCAAUCACCUAAGUCUAUAAAUACCAGGUGCUGCUUCUAGUUUGCUUUGCAAACUGAUCAUAUGUAUAAUGUUCCUGGCCACAGAAUACCUGACCAAACUCUGCAGAUGGACCUCAGUUAAAUUUUUUUCCUAACAAAAUACAAGGAGAUGGUCUUCUCAACUACAGGACACAUAUCUGUAUGGUUGUGUGAUAUAGGGAAUUGUGGCCAUUUUGCAAUCAGGAAGGGUCAAGAGGCUAAGCUAGGCACAGAAGACACGUUGAGUUUAUCUGUGUUCUUAACAGUAGAUCUGAGGAAACGAUUCAGAACUGCCCUUUCCCUGGUCUUGAGUGAAUAAGAAACUAUGUUUUAACUUUAUUCUCAGUUAAUCUGAGUCCUGGGGAAUUAACAUUUAAAUUGUUUUUUCAUAUAUAUACACAUACAUAUUUAUUCAACUUUACUAGAGAAAGUUCAGCUUUUUAUGGAAUAGCUGACAUAGAAAAGCAUUAUUUUAUUAAAUAUUUUCUUAAACAUUAUUGAAAUAUAUACAUAUAUCCAGCUUUAAUUUAGUAAGAUAUAGGAAAUAUUUGUUUACAUUUAGCAUUUUAUAGUAUAUAUUUUUAUAGUAUUUUGGAAAUCCUGGAAAAUUAUUAUUGCCCUGAAUAAAGUAAAAACCAAAAAGAAACUGUUUAAAGAGCUAUGCUGCAUAAUGCCUCUAGCACCAAAUUAUCUUACAGAUAAAAGUCUUUAAUUCUUAAAAAUACAAAAAAAGUCAAAGCUAUGAAGCUAUUGUAACCUUUUUACCAAAUUUGGAAAAGGACACCGUCCAAAAUCAAAUCAGCUAUAAAAAAAAUAAUCCAUUGUGCUGGGUGCAGUGGCACCUGCUUAUAAUCCCAGUGACUCUGGAGGCUGAGGCAGGAGGAUCGCAAGUUUACAAAUGGCUUUUGCAUCUUAGUGAUGCACUAAGUAACUUCGUGUCUCAGACUUUUAAAAAGUGGGGCAGAAGGGGCUGGGGAUGUGGCUCAGUAGUAAAGCAGCCCUGGGUUCAAUCCCUGGUACCAAAGAAAACCAAUCUAUAAUACUUAUGGUAUAAGUAUUCCAGUUAAAUAGCAGGUCAGACCAAGCAGCUUAUUAAACAUUAGCCAUAAUGUUCAUGACCUGACUUAUUAAAUUGUCAAAGAAUAUAAUGUAUAAAUAGUAGACAUUAAGAAGUAUUACACACUAAUAUAAGAACUUAACACUAGUUACAGCACACAGUCAACUUGCAGGUGUCCACUUACUACCUCUUGGUCCUAUAAAUUUUCACAACAUUUAGAAUAAUAACAAUCCACUUCUGCCCCACACUAUAGAAAAAUAAUACAUAUCCUAAAUAAGUUAAAUAUAAAUUUGUAUUAUUUGAUAGAUAAACUUACUUAGAUAUUAUUAGUCAACUCAUUAAAGGGCCAUUUAUAACAAAAAAUUCACUUUUAUUAGAGGAAAUAUGAUUACUAAAUUUUAGCUGCACUGAUACAUUGAUUUCAUCUUUUUUUAAUUUAUUAUUUUUUUGGGGGGUGGGGGUGGUGCUGGGGAUUGAACCUGGGGCCUUUUGCAUGCUAGGCAAGCGCUCUACCAACUGAGCUACAUCCCCAGCCCCUCAUGAGUCUAUUCUUAAAACUUCUGUAUUUUCUGAGAGUUCAUGCCCAUUAGAGGAAUUAAAUUAAUAAAAUCAAAGAUAAGUGAUAGAACUAUUUCAUUACAAUUUUAACUUUUUUGAGACAUAAAAAAUAUUGAGAGAGUUCUCUUUCAUUUUCUGCUAUUGUACACAUAUUUCUCUUGUCAAGUUUUGAAAGUUAAAGUUUAUAUAUCAUGUUUCAACUGAAACUUUGUAUACCACAGAGGAUUUUUGUUGUUGUUUGUUUGUUUAAACAAAAUCGUAUCCACAGAGUCUCUUAAGUGCUGAAAACCAAAGCCUAAUGUGUGUGCUUAAAAUAUUUUCUCCAUACUCAGGAAGCUUACCCACGUCCAGAUUUGUUUGGGUGCACACAUGUUGUGCACACACGUUGAAGUACAGUCUCCUCACAUGGUUGUAGACUACGAACAUCCUUUUAGUCAAUACCUACAGGUCUAGUUUUAGAUUUUCACAUAACAGACAAACCAUGGUAUAUACAGGCCAUUCUCCCGCUAAUGAAAGUUCAGGUUUAUUACUUAUAAGUAAUCAUAUGAUAAGCAUUUUUACUACACAUGUAUUGUUGCAUGUUGGUGCUUUUGUUCCCACUGGUCGGAUUCCUUGCCUUAACAAUGUAGUAUAUUUUAAAUGUAGUAAUUAGUGCCUUAUUGUCUUAAACUUGGCCAUUAAUCUCAACAGAAAUGUAUGUUCGUUUUCUAUUUUAAUCACAACUGAACGUUUACUCAACUGAAGUUGUAACGUUCAAAAAAGUGCCUUUGUGUUUUAACUGCUAAUGAAGUUGAGCAUCUGCCUUGCCUAAGGGUCAUUUGAGUUUUGUUUCUUUGAAUUGCUUGUUUUUAUCUAUUUUCUUUUUUAAAAUUGAAGUCAGUUUUUAAACUAAUUUGUAGAAAAUUGACUGAGGAGCUUAUAUUGCCACAUACUUUGCUGUUUGGUGUUUUUUUUAGUCUAGUGUUAUUCUUUGCCUUUGUUUUUUGCAAAAAGGAGUUAAGGGCUAGAGAGCAGGCAUCAGGCUUUAUGUGAAAGUCUGCACACUGCCUCUGUAGCCUGGGAGCACGGGAUGCAUAAGCCAGUGGUUCUCACCAGGGCUGUUCUGCUUCUUCUGCCCACAUCCUCAGGGUGAUAAUGGCAACACCCACAGACACUUUUGUCUGUUGCUGUAAAGGGGGUUGCUACUAGUAUCUAGUGACAGGGAUCCUCUCAUUACCCUGUAAUACAUAGUCCAGCCUCCACAAUUAAAUUAUCUGGCCCAUCGAGUCAGUAAUGCUAGUGCUGAGGUUGAGAAAUCCUGACUUAGAGGUAGUGGAUGCAGCUGUGUUCCAAAAAAACUUAAUAUCUUAAAAUCAGGUAACAGGGCUUAGGCUUGUGGUUCAGUGAUAGAAUAUUUGCCCAGCAUGUGCGAAGUCCAGCACCAAAAGGAAAGAAAAAUACAUUUGGUCUAUAGGGUGUAGUUUGCUCUUCCGUUUUAAAUUUUUUUUUUUUUUUUUUGCUGUAUGCUAGUUUUCUGGGUUUAUUCCUGAAUUGUCUUCUUUCACUGCAAAUGUUUUUCCAAUUUUUCUUCUAUUUUAUGCCUUAAAAUCUUCCUGCCUAAAUAACAAGGGAAAAAAUAUAGCACCUGUGUAACUAACACAUAGUAAGCAUGUUGUUUUUCUUUUUUGAUUAAAAUUUUAUAAAUAAAUCAUUUCAGGAAAAAAAAUAUGGAGUCUUCUUUUUCCCUUCUGGAGUCAUCCACCUUGUGUCUGCAGAGGCAAUAACUUAGUGCAUCUUGUAUCUGUAAGACCAACCCAUAGUAUUAAGGGGUUCUAAGUAACAUAGAUGGUAGUAUAUCAUUCUGUCAUUUUCUUUAUUGACUGAAAAGGAACUGUUCUAAUUCUUUACUGCUUUUU
rnacentral:lncRNA from 1 species